rnacentral:rRNA from 1 species
UGCACCGAAGCUGCGGCAGCGACGCUGAUGCGUUGUUGGGUAGGGGAGCGUUCUGUAAGCCUGUGAAGGUGGCCUGUGAGGGUUGCUGGAGGUAUCAGAAGUGCGAAUGCUGACAUAAGUAACGAUAAAGCGGGUGAAAAGCCCGCUCGCCGGAAGACCAAGGGUUCCUGUCCAACGUUAAUCGGGGCAGGGUGAGUCGACCCCUAAGGCGAGGCCGAAAGGCGUAGUCGAUGGGAAACGGGUUAAUAUUCCCGUACUUGGUGUUACUGCGAAGGGGGGACGGAGAAGGCUAUGUUGGCCGGGCGACGGUUGUCCCGGUUUAAGCGUGUAGGUGUGUGUUCCAGGUAAAUCCGGUUCACUUUAACACUGAGGCGUGAUGACGAGGCACUACGGUGCUGAAGCAACAAAUGCCCUGCUUCCAGGAAAAGCCUCUAAGCAUCAGGUAACAUCAAAUCGUACCCCAAACCGACACAGGUGGUCAGGUAGAGAAUACCAAGGCGCUUGAGAGAACUCGGGUGAAGGAACUAGGCAAAAUGGUGCCGUAACUUCGGGAGAAGGCACGCUGACACGUAGGUGAAGUGAUUUACUCACGGAGCUGAAGUCAGUCGAAGAUACCAGCUGGCUGCAACUGUUUAUUAAAAACACAGCACUGUGCAAACACGAAAGUGGACGUAUACGGUGUGACGCCUGCCCGGUGCCGGAAGGUUAAUUGAUGGGGUCAGCGCAAGCGAAGCUCCUGAUCGAAGCCCCGGUAAACGGCGGCCGUAACUAUAACGGUCCUAAGGUAGCGAAAUUCCUUGUCGGGUAAGUUCCGACCUGCACGAAUGGCGUAAUGAUGGCCAGGCUGUCUCCACCCGAGACUCAGUGAAAUUGAACUCGCUGUGAAGAUGCAGUGUACCCGCGGCAAGACGGAAAGACCCCGUGAACCUUUACUAUAGCUUGACACUGAACAUUGAGCCUUGAUGUGUAGGAUAGGUGGGAGGCUUUGAAGUGUGGACGCCAGUCUGCAUGGAGCCGACCUUGAAAUACCACCCUUUAAUGUUUGAUGUUCUAACGUGGACCCGUAAUCCGGGUUGCGGACAGUGUCUGGUGGGUAGUUUGACUGGGGCGGUCUCCUCCUAAAGAGUAACGGAGGAGCACGAAGGUUGGCUAAUCCUGGUCGGACAUCAGGAGGUUAGUGCAAUGGCAUAAGCCAGCUUGACUGCGAGCGUGACGGCGCGAGCAGGUGCGAAAGCAGGUCAUAGUGAUCCGGUGGUUCUGAAUGGAAGGGCCAUCGCUCAACGGAUAAAAGGUACUCCGGGGAUAACAGGCUGAUACCGCCCAAGAGUUCAUAUCGACGGCGGUGUUUGGCACCUCGAUGUCGGCUCAUCACAUCCUGGGGCUGAAGUAGGUCCCAAGGGUAUGGCUGUUCGCCAUUUAAAGUGGUACGCGAGCUGGGUUUAGAACGUCGUGAGACAGUUCGGUCCCUAUCUGCCGUGGGCGCUGGAGAACUGAGGGGGGCUGCUCCUAGUACGAGAGGACCGGAGUGGACGCAUCACUGGUGUUCGGGUUGUCAUGCCAAUGGCACUGCCCGGUAGCUAAAUGCGGAAGAGAUAAGUGCUGAAAGCAUCUAAGCACGAAACUUGCCCCGAGAUGAGUUCUCCCUGAGACUUAGAGUCUCCUGAAGGAACGUUGAAGACGACGACGUUGAUAGGCCGGG